GACGAACGCUGGCGGCGUGCCUAAUACAUGCAAGUAGAACGCACAGUUUAUACCGUAGCUUGCUUCACCAUAACCUGUGAGUUGCGAACGAGUGAGUAACGAGUAACUAACCUGCCUGGGAUCAGUUGGUAACACUUGGGAACAAUAGCUAAUACCUCAUAAUAUUCAUUAUUCCAUGAUAAUUGAUUGUAAUAUUCACUUUCAUCGCUGCCUGCUGGACCUACGUUGUAUUAGCUAGUAGGAGAGGUAACGGCUCACCUAGGGGAAAAUACAUAUCCGACCUGAGAAGGGGAUUGGCCACACUGGGACUGGGAAACGGCCCAGACUCCUACGGGAGGCAGCAGUAGGGAAUCUUCGGCAAUGGACGAAAGGCUGACCGAGCAACGCCGCGUGAGUGAAGAAGGUUUUCGGAUCGUAAAGCUCUGUUGUAAGAGAAGAAAGGGUGGGAGAGUGGAAAGUGCACACUGUGACGGUAUCUUACCAGAAAGGGACGGCUAACUACGUG
rnacentral:rRNA from 1 species